rnacentral:snRNA from 1 species
GGAAGAGGUUCAGGAGUGAAGUUGAGCCUGGGAAGAAGGGAGGGGUGCUGACCCCUGCGAUUUCCCCAAAUGCGGGAAACUCGACUGCAUAAUUUGUGGUAGUGGGGGACUGCGUUCGCGCUCUCCCCUG